rnacentral:lncRNA from 1 species
AAGAGCUGCACUGGACUUCAACCUCCCUGAUGAACUUGGUUUUUAUAUUCUUCAGACACACAUGAAUGAAUGGAGUCAAGAGCAGAAAAUGCCUUUCUUAUUGAGAUCCAGUAAGAAACCUUCUCAGUGUCUUUACUUUUUUCCCCGGCUGCUGGUUCAGAUCACGUCUCCACUUCAAAUGAGGCCUAAGUGCUACAAGUUUAUAGCUGGAUAUCAGUGCCAAAAUGGAUGAUUUAUCCCUCUUGAGGUGAAGAUAUUGUGCAUUAGAGAGAAGACACUUUGGCAUCAUGAAGUAAUUAAUGCUACUACUGUUCCACCAGCA